rnacentral:rRNA from 1 species
UGCCAGCCGCCGCGGUAAUACGGAGGGGGCUAGCGUUGUUCGGAAUUACUGGGCGUAAAGCGCACGUAGGCGGAUUGGUAAGUUGGGGGUGAAAGCCCGAGGCUCAACCUCGGAAUUGCCCUCAAAACUGCCAGUCUUGAGUUCGGGAGAGGUGUGUGGAAUUCCGAGUGUAGAGGUGAAAUUCGUAGAUAUUCGGAGGAACACCAGAGGCGAAGGCGACACACUGGACCGAUACUGACGCUGAGGUGCGAAAGCGUGGGGAGCAAACAGGAUUAGAUA